AGAGUUUGAUCCUGGCUCAGGACGAACGCUGGCGGCGUGCUUAACACAUGCAAGUCGAACGGUGAAGGGACUGGCUUUUGUUGGUCCUGGAUGAGUGGCGAACGGGUGAGUAACACGUGAGUAACCUGCCCCCUUCUUCUGGAUAACCGCAUGAAAGUGUGGCUAAUACGGGAUAUUCUGGGUCUGUCGCAUGACGGGCCCGGGAAAGAUGCGCCUUUGGGUGUUUUUGGUGGGGGAUGGGCUCGCGGCCUAUCAGCUUGUUGGUGGGGUGAUGGCCUACCAAGGCGGUGACGGGUAGCCGGCCUGAGAGGGUGGACGGUCACACUGGGACUGAGACACGGCCCAGACUCCUACGGGAGGCAGCAGUGGGGAAUAUUGCACAAUGGGCGCAAGCCUGAUGCAGCGACGCCGCGUGAGGGAUGGAGGCCUUCGGGUUGUAAACCUCUUUCGCCAGUGAAGCAGGCCUGCUCCUUGUGGGUGGGUUGACGGUAGCUGGAUAAGAAGCGCCGGCUAACUACGUGCCAGCAGCCGCGGUAAUACGUAGGGCGCGAGCGUUGUCCGGAAUUAUUGGGCGUAAAGAGCUCGUAGGCGGCUGGUCGCGUCUGUCGUGAAAUCCUCUGGCUUAACUGGGGGCUUGCGGUGGGUACGGGCCGGCUUGAGUGCGGUAGGGGAGACUGGAACUCCUGGUGUAGCGGUGGAAUGCGCAGAUAUCAGGAAGAACACCGGUGGCGAAGGCGGGUCUCUGGGCCGUUACUGACGCUGAGGAGCGAAAGCGUGGGGAGCGAACAGGAUUAGAUACCCUGGUAGUCCACGCCGUAAACGUUGGGCACUAGGUGUGGGGGGCCUUUUCCGGGUCUUCCGCGCCGUAGCUAACGCAUUAAGUGCCCCGCCUGGGGAGUACGGCCGCAAGG
rnacentral:rRNA from 1 species